UCUUAUCUCUUUCUCCACCCGGCCAGCACCCCAUCUUAUCUCUUAUCUCUUUCCCCCACACCACACACGCUCCCUCCGCCGCCGCCCCCUGACUUGCCGGCCGAUUUGCUCGCGCCGCCGCCUUUCCCACCAGCGAUGGCGCCUCCCACAGCCUCCUUCUAGCAUGUGGUGCUCCCCCCACGUUCCAAGCCGAAGGUGCCUCCUGAAGAUAGGACAAGAAAAGAGGGAGGCAGAUCCACCGCGACCAAGAGCAGGUCAGGCGGCGGCCAUGGCACGCCCAGAUCCGCCAGCGCCAUCGUCGUCGAGCACCUCUGCUCCGAGCGUCGGAUCCACCUCGGGCUCCAUCUACACAACCACGCACUGGCAGCCGCUGCCAUGGAAGGUUCUCUAUGUGCUGGCUUCUUCCCUUCCCAAGACGCUGUUGCUCUGACGCCAUGGAUAAUGUGCAGGACAGAGCCGCCAUAUGGUGUGCGCGGUGAUUCUUUUUCCACUCUGAUGCCUUCCGCGCUACGUGUCUGAUGGACCCGAUUUUACUUCCACUCCGACAUAGCUAAUGCAGAAAAUAUGAUAAUACCAGAGGAGGAAGCGAGCUUAGCAAAUGAUGAAUUAUAGAGGCUCUCAAAUAUUGGUGAAACAAGAGGAAGGGUAUAAUGGCAGAAGGUAUCAAAUCGAAGAUGUUAUGGCUUUUCUUCAUGGGAUGCAUGGUCGACCUACUUUCAUAUGGAAGUUGUUGUUGGUUCGAUGAACAAAGACUUGGUGUGUUCCAUAGUGUUUUGUAUAGUGACUAGACAUGAGUCUCUUAUGAACUUAGCCCGUAUUUUGUAACAGGUCACAGCUUAUAUGUCGACCUAUGUAUUUCCUUAGUGGUUGUAGCUAACUUGAGUGAAGAAAACUAAUGAAUCUUCUAUAUGUUGAAUAUAUAUGUAUUUAUCAAUGGUAUCUUGUGAUGAAUACAAGAGUAUAAUUGUUUAUA